AGGUGCGACCAUACCAGCACUAAUGAACCGAAUCCCAUCCAAAGUCCACAGUUAAGCGUGCUUGAGCGAGAGUAGUACUAGGAUGGGUGACCUUGUGGGAAGUCCUCGAGUUGCACCUC
rnacentral:rRNA from 2 species